UAUGCUUAACAUGCAAGUCAAACGAAAUUUGUUUUCGUGGCGAACGGGUGAGUAAAUGCAGAAUUUUUCCUUCUAGUUCAGCACAAAAAUUCUUUGUGAAUCCAAAUUCUGAAUAUUUAAAAGGUUUGUUUGAAACAUUCCGCUAGAAGAUAAAUCUGUUAAAGAUUAGGUUGUUGGUAAUUUGAUAGCUUACCAAGCCCUUGAUCUUUAGUUGGUCUUAGAGGAUGGCCAACCACACUGGAACUGAAAUAAGGUCCAGGCUGACUUGUCGGCCAGCAGUGAGGAAUAUUGGACAAUGAACGAAAGUUUGAUCCAGCAAUACUAACUGGGUGAUGACGGCUUGUUUAAGUUGUAAGAUCCUUUAAUUAAAGAAGAUAAUGACAUUAUUUAGUCGAACUAGUCCUGGCUAAUACUCGUGCCAGCAGCCGCGGUAAUACGGGAAGGGCAAGCGUUAUCCGGCAUGACUGGGCGUAAAGAGUCCGUAAACUGUAAAGUAAGUUUUUUGUCAAAUUUUAAAGCACAACUUUAAAACAGCAAUUAAUACUACUUUACUUCGAGUUUAAUACAGAAAAGUAGAAUUUUGUACGAAGGGGUGAAAUCUGUAGAUAUAUAAAG
rnacentral:rRNA from 1 species